rnacentral:rRNA from 1 species
GUUUCUAUCUAUGAAAUGUCCCCUUCUAGUACGAAAGGACCGAAGAAGAGAGGCCAAUGCUAAAAGCACGCCUCAUUCCCAUCUGAUGAAGUCAACUAAAACAGAUAAAGGAACAUACUCCUUUGCCUUAGACUAAGGCAU